rnacentral:tmRNA from 1 species
GGGGGUGCACUGGUUUCGACAGGCAUAUACCGACCAGAGAAGCAAGCCGAGGUCUCCUCGCCUCGUUAAACAGGGGUACUCGCUGUUUAUAUGGCGAAAACACCUACGCACUCGCCGCUUAAUUAGCCGGCGACGUCAAACCGGGGCUCUGUCUCCGGCGCCGGGGCGACGUCACUUAAGGAGACUGCUUCCUGCGAACGUGGGCUGUAUGACGCAGGGCUAAGAUCGAACAGCCAUGAAAGGGAUCCUGUGGGUCGUCAGGCGGACCCCUUUCGAGAUCAUCUGGCGACUGAGCUUGGAGAUGCUCUGCAAGGCGUAUGUCUGGACGGGGGUUCGAUUCCCCCCACCUCCACCA